UCCGGAGUAGCUCAAUGGCAGAGCAAUCGGCUGUUAACCGAUGGGUUGCUGGUUCGAGCCCAGCCUCCGGAGCCA
rnacentral:tRNA from 1 species